rnacentral:rRNA from 1 species
GCGCAGCAGGCGCGAAAACUUUACAAUGUGCGAAAGCACGAUAAGGGAACUCUGAGUGCCUCCUAAGGAGGCUGUUCAGGUGUCUAAAAGCACCUGAAGGAAGGGCUGGGUAAGACCGGUGCCAGCCGCCGCGGUAACACCGGCAGCCCAAGUGGUAGCCACGUUUAUUGGGUCUAAAGCGUCCGUAGCCGGCUGGGUAAGUUCCUUGGGAAAUUUGGCUGCUUAACAGUCAAGCUUUCAGGGAAUACUGCCCGGCUUGGGACCGGGAGAGGUCAGAGGUACUCCAGGGGUAGGGGUGAAAUCCAUUAAUCCUUGGGGGACCACCGGUAGCGAAGGCGUCUGACCAGACCGGGUCCGACGGUGAGGGACGAAGGCUAGGGGCGCGAACCGGAUUAGAUA